CUCAGAUUGAACGCUGGCGGCAGGCCUAACACAUGCAAGUCGAGCGGAAACGAGUUAUCUGAACCUUCGGGGAACGUUAACGGCGUCGAGCGGCGGACGGGUGAGUAAUGCCUAGGAAAUUGCCCUGAUGUGGGGGAUAACCAUUGGAAACGAUGGCUAAUACCGCAUGAUGCCUACGGGCCAAAGAGGGGGACCUUCGGGCCUCUCGCGUCAGGAUAUGCCUAGGUGGGAUUAGCUAGUUGGUGAGGUAAGGGCUCACCAAGGCGACGAUCCCUAGCUGGUCUGAGAGGAUGAUCAGCCACACUGGAACUGAGACACGGUCCAGACUCCUACGGGAGGCAGCAGUGGGGAAUAUUGCACAAUGGGCGCAAGCCUGAUGCAGCCAUGCCGCGUGUGUGAAGAAGGCCUUCGGGUUGUAAAGCACUUUCAGUCGUGAGGAAGGUAGUGUGUUUAAUAGAUGCAUUAUUUGACGUUAGCGACAGAAGAAGCACCGGCUAACUCCGUGCCAGCAGCCGCGGUAAUACGGAGGGUGCGAGCGUUAAUCGGAAUUACUGGGCGUAAAGCGCAUGCAGGUGGUUUGUUAAGUCAGAUGUGAAAGCCCGGGGCUCAACCUCGGAAUAGCAUUUGAAACUGGCAGACUAGAGUACUGUAGAGGGGGGUAGAAUUUCAGGUGUAGCGGUGAAAUGCGUAGAGAUCUGAAGGAAUACCGGUGGCGAAGGCGGCCCCCUGGACAGAUACUGACACUCAGAUGCGAAAGCGUGGGGAGCAAACAGGAUUAGAUACCCUGGUAGUCCACGCCGUAAACGAUGUCUACUUGGAGGUUGUGGCCUUGAGCCGUGGCUUUCGGAGCUAACGCGUUAAGUAGACCGCCUGGGGAGUACGGUCGCAAGAUUAAAACUCAAAUGAAUUGACGGGGGCCCGCACAAGCGGUGGAGCAUGUGGUUUAAUUCGAUGCAACGCGAAGAACCUUACCUACUCUUGACAUCCAGAGAACUUUCCAGAGAUGGAUUGGUGCCUUCGGGAACUCUGAGACAGGUGCUGCAUGGCUGUCGUCAGCUCGUGUUGUGAAAUGUUGGGUUAAGUCCCGCAACGAGCGCAACCCUUAUCCUUGUUUGCCAGCGAGUAAUGUCGGGAACUCCAGGGAGACUGCCGGUGAUAAACCGGAGGAAGGUGGGGACGACGUCAAGUCAUCAUGGCCCUUACGAGUAGGGCUACACACGUGCUACAAUGGCGCAUACAGAGGGCGGCCAACUUGCGAAAGUGAGCGAAUCCCAAAAAGUGCGUCGUAGUCCGGAUUGGAGUCUGCAACUCGACUCCAUGAAGUCGGAAUCGCUAGUAAUCGUGGAUCAGAAUGCCACGGUGAAUACGUUCCCGGGCCUUGUACACAC
rnacentral:rRNA from 1 species